AGGAGUCUAUGCUUGGUCUCAAGAUUAAGCAUGCAUGUGUAAAGUAUGACUAAUUCAGACUGUGGAAACUGCGAAUGGCUCAUUAAAUCAGUUAAUAGUUUGUUUGAUGGUAUGCUGCUACUCGAUAACCGUAGUAAUUCUAGAGCUAAUACGUGCAACAACCCCGACUUCUGGAUAGGGAUCAUUUAAAUUAGAUAAAAGGUCGACGCGGGCCUGCCCGUUGCUGCUGAGUGAUUCAUGAAAACUUCCGACGGAUCGCACGCCAAUCGUGCGGGCGACGCAUCAUUCAAAAUUUCCUGCCCUAAUCGAACUUUCGAUGGUAGGAUAGAGGCCUAACCAUGAGUGGUGACGGGUGACGGAGAAUUAGGGUUCGAUUUCCGGAGAGGGAGCCUGAGAAACGGCUACCUACUUCCAAGGAAGGCAGCAGGCGCGCAAGAUUCCCAACUCCUGACACCCGGGGCAGGUAGUGGACAAUAAUAACAAUACGGGGCUCUUUCGAGUCUGGUAAUUGGAAUGAGUACAAUCUAAAUCCCUUAACGAGGAUCCAUUGGAGGGCAGUCUGGUGCCUAGCAGCCGGUAGCAUUCCAGCUCCAAAUAGCGUAUAUUUAAGUUGUUGCAGUUAAAAAGCUCGAGUUUGGACCUUGGUUGGGUCGACCGGUCCGCCUCGCGGUGUGGCACUCUGCGGCUCGUCCCUUCUUGCCGGCGAUGCGCUCCUGGCACCUUACUGGCCGGCCGUCCCGUCGCGCUCCGGCCUGUUACUUUUGAAGAAAUUAAGAGUGCUCAAAGCAGCCUACGCUCUGGAACAUUAGCAUGGGAUAACAUCAAUAGGAUUUCGGUCCUAUUGUGUGGCCUUGCGGGUCGGAGUAAUGAUUAACAGGGACACGUCGGGCGAGCAUCGAUUUCAUAGUCAGAAGGUGAAUUCUUGAUUUAUGGAAAGACGAACAACUGCGAAAUCAUGUUGCCAAGGAUGUUUUCAAUUAAUUCAAGAAACGAAAGUUGGGGCCUCGAAGACGAUCAGAUACCGUCGCUAGUCUCAACCAUAACGAUGCAGCCAGGGAUCGGCGCCGAUGGUUUGCAUUUAAGGAAAUCCCGCCCGGCCCUUAUAGAGAAUCAAAGUCUUUGGUUCCGGGGGGAGUAUGGGGGUCGCAAGGCUGAACUUAAAAGGAAUUGAACCGGAAGGGGCACCACACAGGAGGUGGAGGCCUGCGGCUUAAUUUGACUCAACACGGGGAAACUUACAGGUCCAGACAACUAGUAAGGAUUGACAGACUGAGAGCUCUUUCUUUGAAUUCUAUGGGUGGUGGUGCAUGGCCGUUCUUAGUGGUAAUGGCGAUUGUCUGGUUAAUUCGUUAACGAACGAGACCUCAAAGCCUGCUAACUAGCUAUGCGGGGUGACCUCCGCGGCCAAAGCUCCUUAGAGGGACUUGGCGCCUUUUAGGCCAAGGAAGUUUGAGGCAAUAUAACAGGUCUGUGAUGCCUAGAUGUCUGGGCCGCACUGCGGCGCUUACACUGAUGUAUUCAACGUCUAUACGCCUUGGGCCCGAGCAGGCCCCGGGUAUCUUUUGAAAAUUUCAUCGUGAUGGGGAUAGUCAUUGCAAUUGUUGGUCUUCAACGAGGAAUUCCUAGUAGCGCGAAGUUCAUCAGCUCGCGUUGAACACGCUCCUGCCCUUUGACACCCGCCCGUCGCCUUCCACGAUUGAAUGGUCCGGUGAACGUGUUUCGGAUCGCGGCGACGGUGGUCGGUUCGCCGGCCGGCGACGUCGCGAGAAGGUCCACUGAACCUUAUCAUUUAGAGGAAGGACCAGUCGUAACAGGUUUCCGUAGGAGUGAACUGCGGAAG
rnacentral:rRNA from 1 species